rnacentral:rRNA from 1 species
UCAAGCUAAUAAGAGCGCAGGGUGGAUGCCUUGGCACUAAGAGCCGAUGAAAGACGUGAUAAGCUGCGAAAAGCUUCGGGGAGGAGCAAAUAUCCUUUGAUCCGGAGAUAUCUGAAUGGGGAAACCCGGCUGAGCAAACCUCAGUCACUGCAUGGUGAAUCCAUAGCCAUGCAGGGGGAACCCGGUGAACUGAAACAUCUAAGUAGCCGGAGGAAGAGAAAGAAACAUCGAUUCCCAAAGUAGCGGCGAGCGAAAUGGGAAGAGCCCAAACCAGAGUGCGUGCACUCUGGGGUUACGGACUGCAUAAGUGAGCUGAUUCGUUAAUGGAACGGUCCUGGAAAGACCGGCCAGAGAGAGUGAAAGCCUCGUACAUGAAAACGAUAAGCAGCGGCAGGAUCCAGAGUACCGCGAGACACGUGGAACCUUGCGGGAAUUCGGGGGGACCACCCCCCAAGGCUAAAUACUCCUUAGUGACCGAUAGCGCAUAGUACUGUGAAGGAAAGGUGAAAAGGACCCCGGGAGGGGAGUGAAAGAGAACCUGAAACCCUGUGUUUACAAGCUGUGGGAGCACGUUAAGGUGCAACCGCGUACUUUUUGUAGAACGGUCCGGCGAGUUGCCGGUGCUGGCAAGGUUAAAUGGUACAGCCAUGGAGCCGAAGGGAAACCAAGUCUCAAAUGGGCGUAAAGUCAGCACAGGCAGACCCGAAACCGGGUGACCUAUCCAUGUCCAGGAUGAAGCGGAAGUAAAAUUCCGUGGAGGUCCGGAUCCACAUCCGUUGAAAAGGGUGGGAAUGAGGUGUGGAUAGGGGAGAAAUUCCAAUCGAACCCGGAGAUAGCUGGUUCUCCUCGAAAUAGCUUUAGGGCUAGCCUCGUAUUAGUUUAGCGGAGGUAGAGCACUGAAUUUCCUAGGGGGCGUCAAAGUCUACCGAAGAAUAUCAAACUCCGAAUGCCGCAUAAAUGAUGUACGGGAGUCAGACUGCACGAGAUAAGUUGGGCAGUCAAAAGGGAAAGAGCCCAGACCUACAGCUAAGGUCCCAAAGUGUGUGUUAAGUGGAAAAGGAUGUGGGAUUUCAAAGACAACUAGGAUGUUGGCUCAGAAGCAGCCACACAUUCAAAGAGUGCGUAAUAGCUCACUAGUCGAGAGGUCCUGCGCCGAAAAUGUCCGGGGCUGAAACACAACACCGAAGCUUAGGAAUGUAGAAAUACAUUGGUAGAGGAGCAUUCUUAAAGGAAUGAAGCAGUACCGAUAAGGAGCUGUGGACUUUUAAGAAGAGAGAAUGCCGGAAUGAGUAGCGAGAUGGAGGUGGGAAUCCUCCAGGCCGAAUAUCCAAGGUUUCCAGAGUAAAGCUGAUCUGCUCUGGGUAAGUCGGGGCCUAAGGUAAGGCUGAGAAGCGUAGCCGAUGGACAACAGGUUGAGAUUCCUGUACCGCGUAUCAUCAGAACUGUGGGGACACAGAAGGACAGCACAUCCCGGGAAUGGAAAGACCGGGGCAAGCAGGGUAGGAGUUAAGCUGGCAAAUCCGCUUAACAAUCCGAAGCUGUGAUGCGGAGCGAAUUUAAGUAGCGAAGUGUGCGAUUCCGGCUGUCAAGAAAAGCCGCUAUUGUGUGAUACGUGCCCGUACCGUAAACCGACACAGGUAGAUGAGGAGAGAAUCCUAAGGCCGGCGGGAGAAGCAUUGUUAAGGAACUCGGCAAAAUGACCCUGUAACUUCGGGAGAAAGGGUGCCUGGGAAACCAGGCCGCAGAGAAUAGGCUCAAGCAACUGUUUAGCAAAAACACAGGUCUAUGCAAAACCGAAAGGUGAGGUAUAUGGGCUGACGCCUGCCCGGUGCUGGAAGGUUAAGAGGAGAGGUUAGAGCAAUCGAAGCUUUGAAUUGAAGCCCCAGUAAACGGCGGCCGUAACUAUAACGGUCCUAAGGUAGCGAAAUUCCUUGUCGGGUAAGUUCCGACCCGCACGAAAGGCGUAAUGAUUUGAGCGCUGUCUCGACAAUGCAUCCGGUGAAAUUGAAGUACCAGUGAAGAUGCUGGUUACCUGCGCCAGGACGGAAAGACCCCAUGGAGCUUUACUCCAGCUUGAUACUGGGAUUCGGUACUGCAUGUACAGGAUAGGUGGGAGACUGAGAACUAUGAACGCCAGUUUGUAGGGAGUCGCUGUUGGGAUACCACCCUUGCGGUAUUGGAUUUCUAACCUGCAGCCGUGAACCGGCUGGGGGACAAUGUCAGG